rnacentral:lncRNA from 1 species
UUGACGCUCAAAGAGCCAUAAUCUCGAGGGGGCAUAUUAGACACAAAGUGUCCCACAUCGGUAGUUGGAAAGGAUCCUAAAUAAUAUAUAAGAUAGAUGGAUCACUCCAUUUAUCACCAAUUGGUUUUAGGUUGGAAGCCCAUCUAGCUUAACAGCCACCAUUUGAUCAAAUAUCUCUUAACUCAUAUUUCAAUUGCGUCAAACCAUUAACAAAUACUCUCCAAUUAUUCAAGUGUUAUUUAGUGUGUUUGCGUGUGUUUUUCUAAACUGAGAGGGUCAGGAAAUGAAAAAAAAAAGAGCAAAAGAUGAUCGCAUGAGCUUCUUCCUCUUGAGCUUUCUUGGACCCGUACUACAGAUCCCUCGAGACUCUCCUCUGUUUGUCUCCAGAGGCUCGCCCAUUUUGAUAUAGGAC